AUUGAACGCUGGCGGCAGGCUUAACACAUGCAAGUCGAGCGGUAGCACAGGGGAGCUUGCUCCCUGGGUGACGAGCGGCGGACGGGUGAGUAAUGUCUGGGAAACUGCCUGAUGGAGGGGGAUAACUACUGGAAACGGUAGCUAAUACCGCAUAACGUCGCAAGACCAAAGAGGGGGACCUUCGGGCCUCUUGCCGUCAGAUGUGCCCAGAUGGGAUUAGCUAGUAGGUGGGGUAAUGGCUCACCUAGGCGACGAUCCCUAGCUGGUCUGAGAGGAUGACCAGCCACACUGGAACUGAGACACGGUCCAGACUCCUACGGGAGGCAGCAGUGGGGAAUAUUGCACAAAGGGCGCAAGCCUGAUGCAGCCAUGCCGCGUGUGUGAAGAAGGCCUUCGGGUUGUAAAGCACUUUCAGCGAGGAGGAAGGUGGUGAGCUUAAUACGUUCAUCAAUUGACGUUACUCGCAGAAGAAGCACCGGCUAACUCCGUG
rnacentral:rRNA from 1 species